rnacentral:rRNA from 1 species
GUGAGUCAUCGAGUCUUUGAACGCAUCUUGCGCUCUCGGGUUAUUCCUGAGAGCAUGCCUGUUUGAGUGUCGCGAAACUCUCAACCCCGCUUCUGCUUUGGCAGAGGUUGCUUGGGCUUUGAAUCAUGACCUGUGCUGUUUUCGGACAGCUGGGUUGAAAUACAACAAGCUGAAUCUAUACGUGCGGCUUGACCUGUUGUUGUAACAUCCAAACGCAAUGGGAACGCAUGUCGGAAGGAGCUUUCCAAACGAGAUGACCGCAAAAGCUGGAGCUGUUCGCAGCGAAAGCGUUUGUGCAUUCUGACCUCAAAUCAGGUAGGACUACCCGCUGAACUUAA